CGAAGGAUGCAAGCGUUAUCCGGAUUCAUUGGGUUUAAAGGGAGCGUAGGUGGCCUUGUAAGUCAGUGGUGAAAUCUCUCGGCUUAACUGAGAAAUUGCCAUUGAUACUGCAGGGCUUGAGUACGGAUGCCGUUGGCGGAAUAUGACAUGUAGUGGUGAAAUACAUAGAGAUGUCAUAGAACACCGAUUGCGAAGGCAGCUGACGAAACUGUAACUGACACUGAGGCUCGAAAGUGUGGGGAUCAAACAGGAUUAGAUACCCUGGUAGUCCACACUGUAAACGAUGAUUACUCGCUGCUGGAGGGCAACUUUCAGUGGCUAAGCAAAAGCGAUAAGUAAUCCACCUGGGGAGUACGCCGGCAACGGUG
rnacentral:rRNA from 1 species